rnacentral:rRNA from 1 species
UACGUAGGGUGCGAGCGUUAAUCGGAAUUACUGGGCGUAAAGCGUGCGCAGGCGGUUCGUGAUGUCUGGUGUGAAAGCCCCGGGCUUAACCUGGGAAUUGCAUUGGAAACUAGCGGGCUGGAGUGUGGCAGAGGGGGGUGGAAUUCCACGUGUAGCAGUGAAAUGCGUAGAGAUGUGGAGGAACACCGAUGGCGAAGGCAGCCCCCUGGGUCAAGAUUGACGCUCAUGCACGAAAGCGUGGGGAGCAAACAGG